GCGAAAGUAGCUCAGUUGGUAGAGCACAACCUUGCCAAGGUUGGGGUCGCGAGUUCGAGUCUCGUUUCCCGCUCCA
rnacentral:tRNA from 1 species